CUGUCUGUUUGGAGACUGAAGUCUUCUGUUUAUCCACAGAACGGAUACAGUGCAGGAAUUUGCUUUGCACACCCACCACACAGCAGUUUGCUAGUGUGACUCAGCCAGGCCCUGGAGAAGUGGCUCCAGGUGUGAGAAGGUAGCUCAGUAUCUGUGGGCUUUUUUUCCCCUCU
rnacentral:sRNA from 1 species